rnacentral:misc_RNA from 1 species
GUGAAGAUUUGGGCAGGCCAUACGGAUUACCAAACUUGUGUGUCCCUGGCCGCCUACCCACUAUACAUCCACAAACCCGUGUGCACUGUAGAAGGACCUGGGGAGGAAGAGGACAGCGCGUGGGACCGCGCUGGGCUUGUUUCUCUCGGGUUUUUCUUCGCUAUAAACUCGAAUGGUUAGUAUGAACGUGGAACUUGGUUGGACCGUCACUGGCCAACAAACUAUACA